GUCGAACGAUGAAGCCCUUCGGGGUGGAUUAGUGGCGAACGGGUGAGUAACACGUGGGCAAUCUGCCCUUCACUCUGGGACAAGCCCUGGAAACGGGGUCUAAUACCGGAUACGACCUGCCGAGGCAUCUUGGCGGGUGGAAAGCUCCGGCGGUGAAGGAUGAGCCCGCGGCCUAUCAGCUUGUUGGUGGGGUAAUGGCCUACCAAGGCGACGACGGGUAGCCGGCCUGAGAGGGCGACCGGCCACACUGGGACUGAGACACGGCCCAGACUCCUACGGGAGGCAGCAGUGGGGAAUAUUGCACAAUGGGCGCAAGCCUGAUGCAGCGACGCCGCGUGAGGGAUGACGGCCUUCGGGUUGUAAACCUCUUUCAGCAGGGAAGAAGCGCAAGUGACGGUACCUGCAGAAGAAGCGCCGGCUAACUACGUGCCAGCAGCCGCGGUAAUACGUAGGGCGCAAGCGUUGUCCGGAAUUAUUGGGCGUAAAGAGCUCGUAGGCGGCUUGUCACGUCGGGUGUGAAAGCCCGGGGCUUAACCCCGGGUCUGCAUCCGAUACGGGCAGGCUAGAGUGUGGUAGGGGAGAUCGGAAUUCCUGGUGUAGCGGUGAAAUGCGCAGAUAUCAGGAGGAACACCGGUGGCGAAGGCGGAUCUCUGGGCCAUUACUGACGCUGAGGAGCGAAAGCGUGGGGAGCGAACAGGAUUAGAUACCCUGGUAGUCCACGCCGUAAACGUUGGGAACUAGGUGUUGGCGACAUUCCACGUCGUCGGUGCCGCAGCUAACGCAUUAAGUUCCCCGCCUGGGGAGUACGGCCGCAAGGCUAAAACUC
rnacentral:rRNA from 1 species